rnacentral:lncRNA from 1 species
CUAAUUCUGGGAAUUGUGCCAGCCAAUGAUUUUUUUCCUUGUUUCAGAAUAUAGUUAACCAACAUGUUAACUAAUCGAUUACGAUAAAUUGGUUCGUAUUUUGCUAUUUUUUCUUGCAAUACCUCGACAUGACAUGAGCGUGAAAGGGGUUCAAGAAUCCAUUUUCUUUUUAUAAGGGCUAAAAUCACUUUUUUGGCUUUUUUACCCCAUAUUGUAGGGUGGAUCUCGAAAGAUAUGAAAGAUCUCCCUCCAAGCUGUAUAUACGACUU